rnacentral:rRNA from 1 species
UACGGAGGGUGCAAACGUUGCUCGGAAUCAUUGGGCGUAAAGCGCACGUAGGCGGCCUGUUAAGUCGGAUGUGAAAGCCCCGGGCUCAACUCGGGAAAUGCAUUCGAAACUGGCAGGCUUGAAUAUGGAAGAGGGUCGCGGAAUUCCCGGUGUAGAGGUGAAAUUCGUAGAUAUCGGGAGGAACACCAGUGGCGAAGGCGGCGACCUGGGCCAAUAUUGACGCUGAGGUGCGAAAGCGUGGGGAGCAAACAGG